rnacentral:lncRNA from 1 species
GUUGCCUUAAAAGAAAGGGUUAAUUGCAUACAAAUUUCUGCAAAUAUAGUGAGUUGUAAAUAUAUUUCUAUGAAGUUCAAUUUUUAUAUGUUGUUUCUACAGAAGUCUUAAUGUUUUCAAAUAUGUCCCGCCGUUAGGAUCUGUUAGAAAAAAUUAGUUAACCAUAGGUAAAACACAUAACUCUAGUUAGUUAAAAGAAAGGGUUAAUUGCAUACAAAUUUCUGCAAAUAUAGUGAGUUGUAAAUAUAUUUCUAUGAAGUUCAAUUUUUAUAUGUUGUUUCUACAGAAGUCUUAAUGUUUUCAAAUAUGUCCCGCCGUUAGGAUCUGUUAGAAAAAAUUAGUUAACCAUAGGUAAAACACAUAACUCUAGUUAGUUAAAAGAAAGGGUUAAUUGCAUACAAAUUUCUGCAAAUAUAGUGAGUUGUAAAUAUAUUUCUAUGAAGUUCAAUUUUUAUAUGCUGUUCCUACAGAAGUCUUAAUGUUUUCAAAUAUGUCCCGCCGUUAGGAUCUGUUAGAAAAAAAUUAGUUAACCAUAGGUAAAAUACAUAACUCUAGUUAGUUAAUGAGGUGAAUAGUCCUUUUUACCUUUUUUUAUUUAACGAUUGGGGCUUUUGGAUGGAUAUAUUUAUGAUGGCAAAAAAGGCAUUUCACUUAUAAAAUAAAUAAUAUUUUAACGAUAACAAACUAGAGGGACAUUUGAAAAUAUUAGGAUUUUUGGAGCGGUAAUAUAUAAAAGUUGAACUUUAUAGAGAUAUACUUGCAAAUCACCAUUUUGAAAUUUCUAAUUCCACUGCACCAAAAAUAAGAAAAAAACCAUUAUAUUAUUGUAUUAUUGUUGUUGUUGUUGUAUAGUAUUAUUACUUGAAAUAAUACUUUUUCAAAUAACAAUGCUCCCAUAGCAAGAGAAAGCAAAAAUAUCUAAAUAUACCCCUUGAAACUUAGAAAAUAUCUAAUUUAUCCCUGGUUUUCAAAAUUAUUCUUUUUGCUUUCAAAUUUGUCUCUUAAAAAUGUCAGGUGUUUUCAAGUAUAUCCUUACUAUUGAAGAGAGUUUAUUGGAAAGAUUUUGAGUUUUUUAGAGAAUAUUUCAAAAAGUGGAGAAUGAAUUUGAAAAAGAAAAAUGCAAUAAUAAUUAAGAGAAAAUAGACCCUCACCAAAUAAUUGGAAAAUAUACUCUCAAAAAGAG